rnacentral:rRNA from 1 species
GAUGAACGCUAGCGGGAGGCCUAACACAUGCAAGUCGAACGGGAUCCCCGAGCAAUCGGGGUGAGAGUGGCGCACGGGUGAGUAACGCGUAUGCAACCUGCCUUUAACUGAGGGAUAGCCCAUAGAAAUGUGGAUUAAUACCUCAUAGUUUUGUUGGAUCGCAUGAUUCGGCAAAUAAAGCUCCGGCGGUUAAAGAUGGGCAUGCGUGACAUUAGCUAGUUGGUAAGGUAACGGCUUACCAAGGCUACGAUGUCUAGGGGUUCUGAGAGGAUGAUCCCCCACACUGGUACUGAGACACGGACCAGACUCCUACGGGUGGCAG